GUUUCAUACCUGUCAAAUGCAGACAAUUGAACUAUAUAUUUUUCACACUAUUUUUUUUCAACAGCUAAAGAAGUGUUGUGCUCUGACAGCAGGAGAAAGGCAACAAGCUACCGCAGACUUCGUGUGUCGUCUUCUAUCUGUCAUCCCAAUGGGAAUUUUGUCCAGCAUUCGUGGAGGAGGAAACACCACAGUAUCCCAAGUUUGCAGGUGGCACCAAAAUGAGUGGGGAGGCUGACACUCCAGAUGGGACAGCCACCCUCCAGGAAGACCUGGAUAGGCUAGAUGAGAGAGCUAGCAAGAACCUUCUGAAAUUCAAGAGGGGCAAAUACAGGCUCUUGCACCUGGAAAUAUAUAACCCAGAAUUGCAGCUCAGACUGGAAUACAGCUGGCUGGAGAGCAGCUCUGUGGAGAGGAACCUAGGGGUUCCUCCAGUGAAGAGUGUUCUGCAGUGGCAAAGAAAUCCAACAGGAUGCUGGUUUGCAUCAACAAGGACAUAACCAGCAGAGGUAAGCAAGCCACUGUCCCACUCUACUCAGUGCUUGUCAGCCCACACCUGGAGUACUGUGUCCAGUUUUGGUCCCUGUCAUACAAAAAAA